CAAUAGCGUAUAUUAAAGUUGUUGCGGUUAAAAAAGCUCGUAGUUGGAUUUCUGCUGAGGACGACCGGUCUGCCUUCUGAGUGAGUAUCUGGCUUGGCCUUGUCAUCUUCUUGGAGAACGUAGCUGCACUUGACUGUGUGGUGCGGUUUCCAGGAUUUUGACUUUGAGGAAAUUACAUUGUUUCAAGCAGGCACACGCCUUGAAUACACUAGCGUGGAAUAAUAAGAUAGGACCUUGGUUCUAUUUUGUUGUUUUUCUAGAGCUGAGGUAAUGAUGAAUAGGGACAGUUGGGGGGCAUUCGUAUUUCAUUGUCAGAUGUGAAUUUCUUGGAUUUGCUAAAAAUGCAGACUGCUGCGAAAGCAUUUGCCAAGGAUGUUUUUCAUUGAUCAAGAACGAAAGUUAGGGGAGCGAAGACGAUCAGAU
rnacentral:rRNA from 1 species